CAGCCGCCGCGGUAAUACCGGCGGCCCGAGUGGCGGUCACUCUUAUUGGGCUUAAAGCGUCCGUAGCCGGGUUGGGAAGUCCUCCGGGAAAUCUGGCCGCUUAACGGUCAGAAUGCCGGAGGAUACUCCCAGCCUAGGGAGCGGGAGAGGCCGAGGGUAUUCCCGGAGUAGGGGUGAAAUCCUAUAAUCCCGGGAGGACCACCUGUGGCGAAGGCGCUCGGCUGGAACGCGUCCGACGGUGAGGGACGAAGGCCAGGGGAGCAAACCGGAUUAGAUACCCGGGUAGUCCUGGCUGUAAACGAUGCGGACGUUGUGUCGGACAAGCUAUGAGCUUGUCCGGUGCCGGAGGGAAACCGUUAAGUCCGCCGCCUGGGGAGUACGGCCGCAAGGCUGAAACUUAAAGGAAUUGGCGGG
rnacentral:rRNA from 1 species